UGAGCAUAUCUAUGAGCGGAGGAAAAGAAACCAACAGGGAUUGCCCUAGUAACGGCGAGUGAAGCGGCAACAGCUCAAAUUUGAAAUCUGGCUUCGGCCCGAGUUGUAAUUUGCAGAGGAUGUUUAUGGUGCGGUACCUUCCGAGUUCCCUGGAACGGGACGCCACAGAGGGUGAGAGCCCCGUCUGGUUGGAUACCAAACCUGUGUUAAACUCCUUCAACGAGUCGAGUAGUUUGGGAAUGCUGCUCUAAAUGGGAGGUAAAUCUCUUCUAAAGCUAAAUACUGGCCAGAGACCGAUAGCGCACAAGUAGAGUGAUCGAAAGAUGAAAAGCACCUUGAAAAGGGGGUUAAACAGUACGUGAAAUUGUUGAAAGGGAAGCGUUUAUGACCAGACUUGUGUCGUGUGGCUCAUCCGAGGUUCUCCCCGGUGCACUCCACGCGGCUCAGGCCAACAUCGGUUCUUGUUGGAGGAUAAGAACAGUAGGAACGUAGCUCUCCUUCGGGGGAGUGUUAUAGCCUAUUGUACGAUACUCUGACGGGGACCGAGGACCGCGCUUCGGCUAGGAUGUUGGCGUAAUGGUCAUUAGCGACCCGUCUUGAAACACGGACCAAGGAGUCGUCCAUUAGAGCGAGCGUUUGGGUGUAAAACCCGCACGCGUAAUGAAAGUGAAAUUAGGUGAGAGCUUCGGCGCAUCAUCGACCGAUCCUGAAGUUUACGGAUGGAUUUGAGUAAGAGUUUUAACGGACGGACCCGAAAGACAGUGAACUAUGCUUGAAUAGGGUGAAGCCAGAGGAAACUCUGGUGGAGGCUCGCAGCGGUUCUGACGUGCAAAUCGAUCGUCAAAUUUGAGCAU
rnacentral:rRNA from 1 species